rnacentral:rRNA from 1 species
GACGAACCGAGCGAACGUUGUUCGGAAUCACUGGGCUUAAAGGGCGCGUAGGCGGGCAUUCAAGUCUGUGGUGAAAUCCUCCAGCUCAACUGGAGAACUGCCUCGGAUACUGGGUGUCUCGAGGGUGGUAGGGGUAUGCGGAACUAUCGGUGGAGCGGUGAAAUGCGUUGAUAUCGAUAGGAACUCCGGUGGCGAAGGCGGCAUACUGGACCACUUCUGACGCUGAGGCGCGAAAGCCAGGGGAGCGAACGGG